UUCUUGAUUCUAAUACUUUCAAGUAAGAUCUGCUCCAUGAAAUUUAAAUAGCCGCAGAAAAUUAACUGUGCUAAGGUAGCAUAAUCAUUAGUCUUUUAAUUAAAGACCAGCAUGAAAGAUUUAACAUUUCAACUUCUUUGACAAAUUAACCUAUUGAAAUUUUAUUAAACAUAAAAAUAUAUUUAUAUAACAAUAAGACGACAAGACCCUAUUGAACUUCACCUAAGGUUCAGCUGGGGCAGCUACUCAAAUAUCAUUUUGAUUUAAUUUUAUUAAUAAAAAUCUAUUAACAAAUAAUAUUAAAAAGUUACCAUAGGGAUAACAGCGCAAUAAAAUUUAAAAGCUCUUAUUUAAAAAUCAGUUUGCGACCUCGAUGUUGAAUUAUUUUUCUUCUGCACGAAAAAGAACAGAAAGAAGGUCUGUUCGACCUUUAAAUUUUUACA
rnacentral:rRNA from 1 species